rnacentral:rRNA from 1 species
UACGUAGGUGACCAGCGUUGUCCGGAUUUACUGGGCGUAAAGAGCGCGCAGGCGGUCGUUUCAAGUCGAGUGUGAAAGCCCCCGGCUCAACUGGGGAGGGUCAUUCGAUACUGAUCGACUGGAAGGCAGGAGAGGGAAGCGGAAUUCCCGGUGUAGUGGUGAAAUGCGUAGAUAUCGGGAGGAACACCAGUGGCGAAGGCGACUACCUGGCCUGUUCUUGACGCUGAGGCGCGAAAGCUAGGGGAGCAAACGGGG